rnacentral:rRNA from 1 species
AUUGAACGCUGGCGGCAGGCCUAACACAUGCAAGUCGAGCGAGCGGCGGACGGGUGAGUAAUGUCUGGGAAACUGCCUGAUGGAGGGGGAUAACUCCUGGAAACGGUAGCUCAUACCGCAUACCAUCAGAUGUGCCCAGAGGGGAUUAGGUAGUAGGGGGGGUAAUGGCUCACCUAGGCGACGAUCCCUCUCUGGUCUGCGAGGAUGACCAGCCACACUGGAACUGAGCAACGGGCCAGACUCUGACGGGAGGGAGCAGUGGGGAAUAUUGCACAAUGGGCGCAAGCCUGAUGCAGCCAUGCCGCGUGUGUGAAGAAGGCCUUCGGGUUGUAAAGCACUUUCAGCGGGGAGGCGUUACCCGCAGAAGAAGCACCGGCUAACUCCGUGCCAGCCGCCGCGGUAAUAC